GAUGAACGCUGGCGGCGUGCAUAACACAUUCAAGUCGAACGGUGACGAGGACUUCGGUCCUCUGAUCAGUGGCGGACGGGUGAGUAACGCGUGAGCAACCUGCCCUAUAUUGCGGGAUAACAACCGGAAACAGUUGCUAAUACCGCAUAAUGUACACGGAUCGCAUGAUCUGUGUACCAAAGCUUUAUGUGCUGAAAGAUGGUCUCGCGUCUGAUUAGCUAGUUGGUGAGGUAACGGCUCACCAAGGCGACGAUCAGUAGCCGGUCUGAGAGGAUGAACGGCCACAUUGGGACUGAGAUACGGCCCAGACUCCUACGGGAGGCAGCAGUGGGGAAUAUUGGGCAAUGGGGGAAACCCUGACCCAGCAACGCCGCGUGAAGGAAGAAGGCCUUCGGGUUGUAACGUUCUUUUAGUCAGGACGGAAGAACGUGACGGUACCUGCAGAAAAGACAACGGCUAACUACGUG
rnacentral:rRNA from 1 species